rnacentral:tRNA from 1 species
CCUCUGGUAGCUCAGUUGGUAGAGCGGUGGACUGUAGUGGUAUUCGAUGUUAGUAAUCCAUAGGUCGCUGGUUCAAAUCCGGCCCGGAGGA